rnacentral:rRNA from 1 species
GACGAACGCUGGCGGCGUGCUUAACACAUGCAAGUCGAACGGAAAGGCCCUGCUUGCAGGGUACUCGAGUGGCGAACGGGUGAGUAACACGUGGGUGAUCUGCCCUGCACUUCGGGAUAAGCCUGGGAAACUGGGUCUAAUACCGGAUAGGAGCCAUCUUUAGUGUGAUGGUUGGAAAGUUUUUUUCGGUGUAGGAUGAGCUCGCGGCCUAUCAGCUUGUUGGUGGGGUAAUGGCCUACCAAGGCGGCGACGGGUAGCCGGCCUGAGAGGGUGGACGGCCACAUUGGGACUGGGAUACGGCCCAGACUCCUACGGGGGGCAGCAGUGGGGAAUAUUGCACAAUGGGGGCAAGCCUGAUGCAGCGACGCCGCGUGGGGGAUGACGGCCUUCGGGUUGUAAACUCCUUUCGCUAGGGACGAAGCUUUUUGUGACGGUACCUAGAUAAGAAGCACCGGCUAACUACGUG